GCUCUCUCUCUCUCUCUCUGGCUGGGCUGUAUUAUAAUAGACUCACACAGACACACACUACUUAGUGCUUUGGAAAGAGGGCUGAGCCUCACACACAUAAUCAGCGCAGCUUCUCAAUGGGGGGACGGAGCCAAGAGGAGACAGAACUGUCGUUCCGCUGGAGCUGAUCUCCGUCCGUGUGUGAGAAGUGAGGAGGCACAUUAACGUUCUGUCGUCACGAGAGGCUUUUACCUUCACAGGAGUAAGAAGAGAGAGAAAAAGGAGUAGAAGAAAGAGAGAGAAAAGGAGGUCUGUGGUGAUAUAAAGGUGAUAUGAGCAGCCUUCCAUCUUGCUGACUAGUUUGUUAACAGCGUGUCAUUCCUGUGAGCUGAGGUGGUUUCUGGUGACCGCACUCCCAGGAUUCCAGACGGACAGAAAGAGUCGAGGGGGGCAAGCGGACGAGGCAGAAACAACAGAGCUUCUCCCCCUCUUCUCCUGCAUCGCUGUUCUUCUUUACACCUGGAACUUUGUUGGGAGUCCCUGGCCUCAGGCUAUGGAUGGAUUUAAGACAGUGUUGUGAGUCUGUUGAACAGACGGUGAUACUGACAGCAGGGCUCCUUUCUUUUGACCAGACAGACCACUCAGCCACCCUCCCACUCUGCCCUGCCAUGUCCUUGUUCCUGGGCCUGUGGAUUAGCCUGGGCUUCCUGCUGCUGUGCCAGGCCACGCUGUACGAGACCCUCCAGCAGCACCACGUGCCCCGGCCCGGACGCAACGCCAUCCAGAUCCUGGAAGGAGGUACGUGUGAGGUGAUCGCAGCCCACCGGUGCUGUAAUAAGAACCGUAUCGAGGAGCGCUCCCAGACCGUCAAGUGCUCCUGUCUACCGGGGAAAGUGGCCGGGACGACACGCAACAAACCCUCUUGUGUCGACGCGUCCAUUGUGAUUGGGAAGUGGUGGUGUGAGAUGGAGCCCUGUCUGGAGGGAGAGGAGUGUAAGACUCUGCCUGAUAACUCUGGAUGGAUGUGCUCCUCUGGGAACAAGAUCAAGACCACAAGGAACACUGCGCCAUACUCACCUUUUUAGCUCUGGAAGCAAAAUGCAGAGGAUGCUUCAACAGAAACUGAGCUGCAUUCUUGCCUCUGUAAAGAUUCAUCCUAGGACCUAACAAAGAGUUCCCUCGCAGGCUCCCAGCCAGGAUCCCCUCCCUCCAAAUGGACUAAAACCAUUACAUCAGCGACGACUGACUGGAUUACCUGUGACCGCAAAAAGGAUAUCCUCUGAAAUAAAACAGCUUUGCUAGCGUGGUGCCAAGGAUUUUAGACCAGACUAAUCCCCUUUUUGAUCAAUGAGCCUCAGGUCGGUGAGACUCCACAACAACAACCAUGGCCAAUUUCCCACAUGCUCUUUUUUUCUCCCCUUCAAAAGGAAAACAGCUUAGCCGGGGUUAUUUAGAUGUUGUAAAAACGUUAUUUGAAAACACUAACGCCUCCCGGAAGGUAAACUGGAUGAUCCUCACUGAGACUCAGUGCUACUGAGCAGGGGAUCCUACAGGAUCAGUGGCACAUUGGAGGGACAUUAUGUGGGGAUUGCUUUUACCUAUUUCAUCAUCCUUGUCAACGGCAUCCAUCUUAGAAGCGACAUCUCAGCAUGCCAGCUUUCCUGUGACUGUGUGGAGCCUGGGCAGUGACCCUGACUGCUGUUCACUCUGCCUACGCAACGCAAUGCCGCAGGAACAACAACGAGCGCUGAGUAAACAGACACUGAGAGGUCACAGGGGUCAACCCGGGGGCCCACAGUCACUGUCCAUGAUUGACAUAUCAGUCAGAAGUCUUCUUUGUUGGCAUGCUCUAUGUAAUUCAUUGGAGCUUUUUCUUUGUACGUAAGAUGCUUUGUGUAUAUAUACAUAUAUAAAUACAGUACAUAUAAAAAGAGUAUGUGGGCUCCCUUAUACAGUAAACAAAAUAUUCUGCACGGAGAUCCUUUUGUGGGAUUCUUCAUUUCUGUCCCUGAUUAUGAAGUACAGUGAAUUCCUAGUCAAAGGUAGUGGUUGAAUCUCCUCUCUGUGUAUAGGACUGUUUGCAGUGUUUGCUUGUAUUGAGAAUCUCUGGAAUAGCCUUACAGGAUCAUCAUGAGAAAGUAUUGGUCUUAUUCACCAUUCUGCGAUGUACUUGGAGGAUAGGAAUCUCUUUAGCUUCUGUAAAGAUGAUAAAAACACUGUACAGAACUGUCUAACAAAACAAACUAUAAUCAACAGCGACCCACGUCCUCUUUUCUGUGCUAAAUUAGAGAUAACAGUGCAACUGGGCCCAGUAUCUGAGAGUUAACGCCUGUUCUUAUUUCAUUUCCUGUGUCUGCUAUGGAGAAUGAGUGUGGACUUGGCUGUCAAUCAAUUAAAUGUAUUUAUAAAGCCCUUUUUACAUCAGCCGAUGUCACAAAGUGCUAUACAGAAACCCAGCCUAAACCCAGUUGCUAGAUAAAAUCCCCAAACUGACAAGGUAAAAAUCUGUUGUUCUGCCCUUGAACAAGGCAGUUAACCCACUGUCCCUAUGCCGUCAUUGUAAAUAAGAAUUUGUUCUUAACUGACUUGCCUAGUUAAAUAAAGGUUAAAUAAAAAAAUAAAAAGAAGCAUGGUGGCUAGGAAGAAACCUAGAGAGGAACCAGGCUCUGAGGGGUGGCCAGUCCUCUUCUGGCUGUGCCAGGUGGAGAUUAUAACAGCACAUGACCAAGAUGUUCAAACGUUCAUAGAUGACCAGCAGGGUUGUUGUGUGUAGAUUCCACACUGACACAGUUGGCAGGUUUCCAUUGACCCAGGUUUAUCUGACAAAAGCAAUGUCUCCCAAAAAAUCAUUGCAACAUUUAUAAUGGCAGAUGUAGGAGACAUUUUCUAAAGAUCAAAUACAUUUUUAUCAGUUCGACAGUUUCCUUACUGCAACAAUUGAUGAUGGAAACUGUGUUUUUUGAAUAAAAUAUGAUUGCUGAAUAAUUUUGAAGGUACGCAGGACACGUGAUGUUAUCGUGUAACUAUUAAACUUCACUCCACAUUUAAUUGUAAAUGCCUACUGCUUGCAAAAUCCAUUUAUUCAACUAGAAAAAGAAUGUUUCUUUGCAGGACAAAGAUUGUCUUGACUUUCAAGAAUGCCUGAAUUGCUUUACAUUGCAAUUUUAAGUUUCACCAUCAAAUAGUUUCAGGUCUCUACUAGGCCUACAUGACUACAAUGGCACGGACUGUGGCGAUAAGUAGGCACCAGAAUUAUUAGAAUAUGGCAAAUAUUAGUCAAUUCUUGCAUUCUAUUCAUGCUGGCUUUUGCGGGCUACCUGCUGUAACGUCAUUACGUCCAGCUGUUUUUUCUCGACAUGGCAGUAGACUGGAAACGCACUGUGGCAUGCAAUUGUCGCAUCUACAGUACUUUCUAUGCGAACAUUCUAAAUGUCGACAAAAAUUCACUGGACAAGUCUAGGGAAACCUAGCUAUUGAAAGCCUUUCCAAUGGAGAUAUUGAAAAAGACAUUGAGAAAGUAUUAGCCACAUUCGACAGACAUGCAAUACACCAAUUAGAUAUACAUACUACCUUAUCAGAAUUAAAACAAUUUCCUAUACUGAAUUGCCUGUCUCAUUUUCCAAAAGAUUUACUGUUUUAAUGUAGAUUUUUUUUCUUAAUAUGUGGUGCGUACAUUCAUAAGUUCCUUUAAGUUCCAUCUAUAUUAUGAACAGAUAUGUACUCUACCAUUCGUCUGAGUGAACAACACGUCAACAACACCAGUCAUGACUGGUGGAAAUAUGCAUACAAACAGACAUGCUCACACACGCACAAACACACAAAUUCAUCUCUGAUUGUUCAUUUACAAAACUCCCUUUGUACCAAAGAGAAUUUAUCAAAAUAGCACAUUCAAUAAAUGUAUGCAAUUAGAAUAAAGAUUUCCAAUAUCUUUCCAGGGAAAGUACCUGAUGAUUUUUUAUAUCAACCCCUCCCCGCUCCACCAGCUAUAUCUGUUGAUGCAGCGUUGUCUGAUCGCCCUACAGACACACUUGUAUAUAUUAGUCAUUUAGAAAUGCAUAUUUUUUGUGCCAUUUGGUUCCUCACUGAACAGUCACAGAAGGUAUUAAACCGAGAGACACAUCAAUCUCCCUGCGGUAUUGUCAGAAUCACACAGUCGGAUACAGAUGUAGGAUCUUAAUUUGAACCAGUUUGCUACAGCAGGAAAAUAAUCCUGCAGAACCAGGAAAUUUGAAAUAUUAUGUGGAUUAUAAUUAAUGAAAACAUUUUGUUGGGGUUAAUAUAUUUUGCAUUAGGGCAAAUCAAGUCUGACAUUUUGAAGUGAAAAUUACGAACAUUAGAACCCUUUUUAAACCUUGAAUACACUACAAGUUUGCAUUUCCUGAUGUGCAGUAGAAUUCCCAACAUUAAAAUCCUACAUUUGUAUACAGAGAGAGAUCCAGAGAGAGAGAGGGAAUGUGUGUUUUCUUCCUCAAUGAGCCGUUCCCAUUCCCCUCUUUGUUUGUUUCAUAUCUAAUAGGAUUCGGAGCGUCCCGUAGUCUCACUGUGUCUGUACAGAACAACAGGACUGAGCGUGUGUAUGGCAGUGUGUGUGUAGAGAGAGGAGCGAGAGAAUCCAGUUUAUACAUUUUAUGAAAAAAAGAUAUGGCACUGUGAAGAUUAUCCUUAAAUGUAUGAGGAUGGACAAAUCAAUGUUUUGUUUCUCUCCGUGUUUAUGCUGGUUCUAAAGUAGAUUGUGUUUAAUGGGUGCUCUGGGAUGUGCUGGAAGAGAAGUAGAGAUACCGUUCAUUCUUCCCUCUCUUUUAUUCACUCCACUCCUUUUUAGGUGGAGUAGAGCAGAACACACCCUGCAUAGAUAACAGACCUCGCUUCUCUCCCUCUCCGCAUUAUUAUUACUAUUUCACAGGAGACACAUUGGUAACACUUUAUUUCCAUUUGUAGGUGCUCUAUAGACUAUCAGUAACAUUUCAACUAUCUACUAACACUAGCUCUAACCCUAACCUUAACCCGUCUCCUAACCCUAAACUUAACCUUUACCCUAACUCUUACUCUAAACCUUACCCUAACCCUAACUGUAACCUUAACAAGCAGUUGCUUAUCAACAGAUUGUUUGUUGAUAGUAUGACAGAUGGAAAAUCCGGACUAUCCAAAUAAAAUGUGACACACACAUCAAUCACCAGCACAUCAAUCUCUCAGCACAGAGAUGAUCGAACAUUACACUGGUUAAUCAAGUGUUCAAUGGGAUGGAUUGAAGUCUUUCAACACAACUUCCAUUAACUUUCUACAGGUACAACAACAACUACCAUGGUUGGCUAUAUCUGGUAAAUCCACUUUCUAUCAGACUGUAACUCAUGAGUUCAAUGAUUCAUGAGUUCACUCUGUGGAAGGUAGUCUUGAGUUCAGUGUCUUCAAAGCCUGCAAGGUAGUCCUUAACGUACUGUAUAACCACAGUAAUAGGCACCAUGACUCAUCCCAAAUGUCAGCUUUCCACUGAUCUCUUCCGGACACAGACAUCUAAAGGCCCCCAAACAUAAUUAAUAACCUCAAAUUUCUUCUUAAUGAUAGCUGUUCAGUGGCUGACACGUCCAACUUUGAUGCCUAGUUAUUAGCCCAGAUCCAUUUGUUGAGGAAAUUACAUCGGAGAAAGGAAGCGGCCACAGUAUACUAGAUUUUGAGUUUUUUAUCAAAGAGCAGCAAAUGUGAAAUGGGCCAUUAUUAUUAUAGCAGGAGUGUCAGCACAGCUGUCAUGACUAAGCUACUGUAGUGUAGAACAGAGAGCUGAAGUCUUUAUUCACUCCAACAGGAAAUUGCAGUCAACUUGAUGUAUGAACAAAAACCUUAGAAUAAUUGUGAAGAUGUAAAUGUAGUUACAUUAGUCUAUGAUUGGUAGUAUGUGUGUUGAUAUUUUGCUAUAAAACGUAAUUAUCCCUUAUAUAGAUUAAAAUCAAAUCAAAUCCAAUUUUAUUUGUCACGUGCCGAAUACAACACCUUACAGUGAAAUGCUUACUUACAAGCCCUUAACCAACAAUGCAGUUUUAAGAAAAUACAAAAAAAAUGUAAAGUAAGAGAUAAGAACAACAAAUAAUUAAAGAGCCGCAUGUUCUUAAUGUCGUUGUUCAUUCACAUUAAAAUAUUACACUUUUUAAUGUCCCGUUGGUAGGAUAUACAUGCCUUCAGUUCAUUCAUUCAUUCUAGCGAUUGAACAUUAGCUAGCAGAAUGGAGGGCAAGGGCAGAUUAACCACUCGUCGCCUGGUCCUCAUAAGGCACCCUGAUCUUUGCCUCGAAAUCUACGUUUCCUUCUCCAGCAAAUCACGGGGAUCGGAGCCUGGUCGGGUGUCAACAGUAUAUCCCUCGCAGUCGACUCAUUGAAGAAAAACUCUUCAUCCAGUUUGAGGUGAACAAUCCCAGUUCUGAUGUUUGGAAGCUCUUUUCGGUCAUAGGAGACGGUAGCAGCAACAUUACGUACAAAACAAAUUACGAACAACACGGAAAAACAAACAAAAUAGCAUGAUUGGUUGAGGGCCGCUAAGACGGCAGCCCUACCCACUGGGCCAUCACUAACCCCGACGGCUCACUCUGUAUAAUGGACUUCUCAGAAUUCUUCAGAAACUAUUCAGACCACUUUACUUUUCCACGUUUUGUUAGGUUGCAGCCUUAUUCUAAAAUGUAUUCAAUUGUUUUUUCCCCCUAAUCAAUCUACACACAUUACUCCAUAAUGACAAAGCAAAAGCAAAUUUUUAGAAAUAUUUGCAAAUUUGCUUAAAUUAAACACAGAUAUCACAUUUACAUAAGUAUUCAGACCCUUUACUCAGUACUUUGUUGAAGUACCUUUGGCAGCAAUUACAGCCUCGAGUCUUCUUGGGUAUGACGCUACAAGCUUGGAACACCUGUAUUUGGGGAGUUUCUCCUAUUCUUCUCUGCAGAUCCUUUCAAGCUCUGUCAGGUUGAAUGGGAAGCAUUGCUGCACAGCUAUUUUCAGGUCUCUCCAGAGAUGUUCCAUCGGGUUCAAGUCCGGGCUUUGGCUGGGCCGCUCAAGGAAAUUCAGAGACUUGUCCUGAAGCCACUCAAGCGUUGUCUUGGCUGUGUACUUAGGGUCUUAGUCCUGUUGGAAGUUGAACCUUUGCCCCAGUCUGAGGUCCUGAGCGCUCUGCAGCAUGUUGUCAUCAAGGAGCUCUCUGUACUUUGCUCCAUUCCUCUGCCUCGAUCCGGACUAGUCUCCCAGUCCCUGCCGCUGAAAAACACCCCACAGUAUGAUGAUGCCACCACCAUGCUUCACCGUAGGGAUGGUGCCAGGUUUCCUCUAGACGUGACGCUUAGCAUUCAGCCCAGAGAGUUCAAUCUUGGUUUCAUCAGACCAGAGAAUCUUGUUUCUCAAGGUCUGAGAGUCUUUAGGUGCCUUUUGGCAAACUCCAAGUGGGCUGUCAUGUGCCAUUUACUGAGGAGUGGCUUCUGUCUGGCCACUACCAUAAAGGCCUGAUUGGUGGAGUGCUGUAGAGAUGGUUGUCCUUCUGGAAGGUUCUCCCAUCUCCACAGAAGAACUCUGAAGCUCUGUCAGAGUGACCAUAUGGUUCUUCGUCACCUCCCUGACCAAGGCCCUUCUCCCCCGAUAGCUCAUUUUGGCCAGCUCUAGGAAGCGUCUUGGUAGUUCCAAACUUAUUUUAUUUAAGAAUGAUGGAUGCCACUGUGUUCUUGGGGAUCUUCAAUGCUGCAAAAAAUGUUUGGUACCCUUCCCCAGAUCUGUGUAUUAACACAAUCCUGUCUCGGAGCGCUACGGACAAUUCUUUCGACCUCAGGGCUUGGUUUUUGCUCUGACAUGCACUGUCAACUGUGGGACCUUAUAUAGACAAGUGUGUACCUUUCCAAAUCAUGUCCAAUCAAUUGAAUCUACCACAGGUGAGCUCCAAUCAAGUUGUAGAUACAUCUCAAGGAUGAUCAAUGGAAAUAAGAUGCACAUGAGCUCAACUAUCGUGUCUCAAGGCAAAGGGUCUGAAUACUUUUUUAUUUAAUAAAAAAUAUAUAUAUAUUUAACCUUUAUUUAACUAGGCAAGUCAGUUAAGAAUAAAUUCUUAUUUACAAUGACGGCAUAGGAACAGUGGGUUAACUGCCUUUUAUCAGGGCAGAACGACAGAUUUUUACAUUGUCAGCUCAAGGAUUUGAUCUAGCAACCUUUUGGUUACUGGCCCAACACUCUAACCACUAGCCUACCUGCAUUUACUUAUGUAAAUGUGCUAUUUUUGCUUUUUAUUGUUAAUAAAUUUGCAUAAAAUUC